CCGCGGCCACCACCAACAUCAUGCUUGCAAUCUACGAGAAGAAAACCACUUCCCUUGAUCUCUACCGUCCAUUACGCAACUACAUCUCUAUGGUUUACUCCGAACGCGAGGCCCAGAACAUCGAAGACGACCUCCAGACCCUUAAGGAGUAUCGCUCCGACGUUGAACGCCAAUCUGACCCUUCACCCACCUCCCGCCGUGAUCUCCUUCAGAAUUACUUCAAAGCCCUUUG
rnacentral:misc_RNA from 1 species